rnacentral:rRNA from 1 species
AACGAACGCUGGCGGCGCGCCUAAUACAUGCAAGUCGAGCGAGAAGACGUAGCAAUACGUUUGUAAAGCGGCGAACGGGUGAGGAAUACAUGGGUAACCUACCCUCGAGUGGGGAAUAACUAGCCGAAAGGUUAGCUAAUACCGCGUACGCUCCUUGGACUUCGGUUCAGGGAGGAAAGCGAUACCGUGGGUAUCGCGCUCUUGGAUGGGCUCAUGUCCUAUCAGCUUGUUGGUGAGGAACGGCUCACCAAGGCUUCGACGGGUAGCUGGUCUGAGAGGACGAUCAGCCACACUGGCACUGCGACACGGGCCAGACUCCUACGGGAGGCAGCAGUAAGGAAUAUUGCGCAAUGGGCGAAAGCCUGACGCAGCGACGCCGCGUGGGGGAGUGAAGGUCGUUCGGUA